GGGAUGGAAGGGGGGAGGGGCUGAAACCCAAACAUGAUGGAGGGGGUCCUGUACUGUCCAGCCCCUGCCCUGGGAGAAAGCCGUUGGCUGGGACGGGUGCUCCCUGGAUGUGGCUUGGCCUCCAGCUGUUCUCCGUUACACACACUGCCUGGGGCCCCAGCAGCUGCCACAUCACUGGCUCCACUUCCGAGGGUGAAUUCAGUCUUCAGACUCACUGCACCCAGUUAUCACAGCGGUACAAGUUCCGGCCAGGGCAGAUAUUGUUUUUGUGUGGAAUAAGCCAAGCCUGGAAGCCAUCCUGCCCUUCUGACCCAGAGCAAAACAUCACCAUGUGAAGGGCUCGAGGGAGGACUUUGGCCAGUGUGCCAGGAUCCCUCUUUGUUAAGCAGAGAUUUAACUCUGUGGUAUUUGUGACAAAAUGGGAAGAAGAGACAUAGUGAUUAAGGCCAAGUUGGUGGCUUAGCUAAACUGAGAAAGAAAUUUUCACAGUGGAAGGCCUGGGGCGUGGUCACAACUCAGACCAGGCCUCACACAGCUGUCCCUUGUGGAGACCUCUUGCCGUGGACUUUGCUUGGUCUCUCGCUUAAAGCCAAGGCAGCACUCUGGAAUUUCUGUAAAGCCACAAACAAGCAAUUCAGUGGUGGGAGCACCACACAAAUUAUGGGAAAAGGGGGCAGUCCUACAGCAGGAUUAUAUCAGGGUUAUGUUAUUAGGAACCUCUCUCUGUGCAAUCAUGUUGUAUAAGAUGUGAGAGAGAUGGACAUAGAUCCUUGCAACUCAAUCUGUUACUCUUCCCCUAAAUUAUACCCUUUUGAGGAAGUUUUAUCUAAUUAGCCAAGGUGGGGAUCAAAACUCCUAGGCUCAGAGAUGGCUCUAGCUUUAUGAGCUGAAGGGGUCGCCUAUCAGAGGUCCUGCCUGUCCCACAAUACGGAUGAGGCAAGGCAAUUUUGGAAGCUUCUUAAAACACAUGCAAACCAAACCACACAUCCUUGGGUGAAAGGUGCUAUACAAUUGUCAAGUAUUAAGCAUACUAGAUUUCAGUCACAGUAAGAACAGAGUGUCUGUACUUCCAGGAAAAUAAGAAAAUUUCUGUGAGAGAAAUAAAAAUAUAGGUGAUGGGCAGAUAUUUUCUUUAAGGGAAAAGCAAAAACCCCUAAAAACUCUUGUGGUGCCCAGUCCGAUGGUCACUGAGCUUCUCUGUUGCCGCAAGAGUGUUUCUUUGUAGGACUUAGAAGUAUGGUAUUAGUAUGGUAAUCCUGGUUAAGCAGUCAUUGCUCUGGCCUGGCGCAGCUAUGUUUAAGCCAUCUCAGAUUCUGGCUAAAGGGAUUGUUUGUUUGUUUUGGUGGAAGACACUUCCUUUAUCAAUUUGAGAAGAUCUACCCGAGGGAGAAUCUGAGACAUCUUGCCUACUUUUCUUCUUCCAGCUCCCCCUUCAUUCCAUUUCUUAUAUAGUUUUCCUUUUGGGGAGCUGUUAUGCCACAAUUGCUGGUAUUUAUAUAAAAGGAUUAUUACUAAGUUUAUUUCUUUAUGUUCAUUCUGGUUAGGGGAAUGUGGAGGGUGGGCCACCAAAUUAUCUGGACUAGGGGUAAAUGGGUUGGGAAGCAAAAAAAUGUGGGACGAUGAACUUUUUAAUUAUGAUUUAAUGAUCAUGCGAUUAUAGAAGGCUGUCUUGAGUGCAGAGGCAGAUUUGCAUAUCAGGUAUAUCCAAAAGAGAUACUAGCGUUGUGUUAAAAAGUUAAACUAUGACUGGAGUGAACCAUGUAUUCCCUGGUCUUUUGUUUCUGUGCCAUUUAUGUCUCAUGUAAUUUGCAUUACAUUGGUGGGUUGUUCUAGUACUGUAUUUGGCUUCUUCUUUAAUAGAUUGAUAUUUCAUAUACUAUAAUUGUAAAUAUUUUGAUACAAAUGUUUAUAGCUCUAGGCAUAUAAAAACAGAUUCUGAUUCCCUA
ensembl:lncRNA EMP1 epithelial membrane protein 1